rnacentral:rRNA from 1 species
AUUGAACGCUGGCGGCAGGCCUAACACAUGCAAGUCGAGCGGCAGCGACUUAACUGAACCUUCGGGGAACGUUAAGGGCGGCGAGCGGCGGACGGGUGAGUAAUGCCUGGGAAUAUGCCCUGAUGUGGGGGAUAACUAUUGGAAACGAUAGCUAAUACCGCAUAAUCUCCUCGGAGCAAAGAGGGGGACCUUCGGGCCUCUCGCGUCAGGAUUAGCCCAGGUGGGAUUAGCUUGUUGGUGAGGUAAUGGCUCACCAAGGCAACGAUCCCUAGCUGGUCUGAGAGGAUGAUCAGCCACACUGGAACUGAGACACGGUCCAGACUCCUACGGGAGGCAGCAGUGGGGAAUAUUGCACAAUGGGGGAAACCCUGAUGCAGCCAUGCCGCGUGUGUGAAGAAGGCCUUCGGGUUGUAAAGCACUUUCAGUAGGGAGGAAGGUAGUGUAGUUAACACCUGCAUUAUUUGACGUUACCUACAGAAGAAGCACCGGCUAACUCCGUGCCAGCAGCCGCGGUAAUACGGAGGGUGCGAGCGUUAAUCAGAAUUACUGGGCGUAAAGCGCAUGCAGGCGGCCUGUUAAGUCAGAUGUGAAAGCCCGGGGCUUAACCUCGGAAUUGCAUUUGAAACUGGCAGCUAGAGUCUUGUAGAGGGGGGUAGAAUUUCAGGUGUAGCGGUGAAAUGCGUAGAGAUCUGAAGGAAUACCAGUGGCGAAGGCGCCCCCUGGACAAGACUGACGCUCAGAUGCGAAAGCGUGGGGAGCAAACAGG